UGAAUCAAAUAAUAUCGUUAAGGUUGAAGUGUGUUUGUAGGGUGCACCCGCAUACACAGGAAUACCUAACGCUAAAAGGAAAGGGCUAAACCCUUGAGAAAACCCAAAGAACGAAGAUUUCCGAAUUCCUUUGCCAAAUUCUUGAAAUCAUGUCCUCCGCCGCUGCCAUGGCUGCUAGGUCAGCCUUCAGAUCGACCCUAGCCCGAGCACCUAUCUCCGGCAGGUUUACCAGCAGUGCCAAAACGAAAUCAGCUCCAUCUCCGUUUGCCAUCCCUAAGCAGAACCCACUCUCCCAAUCCCAUCGCAUUUUGAGGUCACCUGUUGAGUUGAGUUGCUGUCUGGAAUCCUUGCUUCCUUACCACUCUGCUACUGCUUCUGCAUUGCUUACUUCUAUGCUUUCCGUCUCUCGUCGAAGCUACGGUUGGACUCCUGAAGGGCAAGACGAUACUAUUUGAGGUCUAAGCAUCAACGAUGGUAUGACUGGAUUUAUUUUUGUCGUCGACGUUUUGGAAAUUGUGAUUCUUGAAUGAUGAAUGCAUACUACUCAGCAGGACUUACCUAAGGAUCGUGAGCGAUUGCGUAUUGCUGAACUUGGCUAAGCGACUUGCUGUGUGAUUCUUUACCGCUUACAUGCUUUAGAAGUCCUAGGGGUGGACACCUUUACAAUUUUCAUGUUGGAGGAUAACAAUUUACAUGAUUGUUAAUCAUGAUGUUUUAGGCAUAAAAAUUGAACUUUAGAUGAGUUGGUUAUGCAGAUUUUAGACGAUGUUUAUAAUCUAUCUACAUUUUCUCCUUUUUGUUGUAUUGUAGAUGGAUGAUUACUGUCUGUUGAGAUGCGGUGCAUUGAUCAUAGUUUCGAGAAUUUGAUUGGAGAGACUGUAAGAUUUUUUUUUUUUUUUCAAAUUAAAGAUCAUAGAUGUCUUGUUUGAUUAUUUUAGAUUUCCAGUUGUAGAAUAAUGUUUUAUGAUUCCAUGCAACGAUAAGUAAUUCCUUCAUGUUGCACUUUUUCUUCCUACAAGAGUUAGAACUCUUCUUCGGCAACCUCUCUCCAAUUUCUCAUAGGAAACGCUGUCUUCUAAAUUUUUAGGUGAACUCAUCUUCAUAUUUAUUUCUAUUUCAAGACCUUAAAGUAGAAAGUUGUAUAA